rnacentral:rRNA from 1 species
GAUGAACGCUGGCGGCGUGCCUAAUACAUGCAAGUCGAGCGAACGGACGAGAAGCUUGCUUUUCUGAUGUUAGCGGCGGACGGGUGAGUAACACGUGGAUAACCUACCUAUAAGACUGGGAUAACUUCGGGAAACCGGAGCUAAUACCGGAUAAUAUUUUGAACCGCAUGGUUCAAAAGUGAAAGACGGUCUUGCUGUCACUUAUAGAUGGAUCCGCGCUGCAUUAGCUAGUUGGUAAGGUAACGGCUUACCAAGGCAACGAUGCAUAGCCGACCUGAGAGGGUGAUCGGCCACACUGGAACUAAGACACGGUCCAGACUCCUACGGGAGGCAGCAGUAGGGAAUCUUCCGCAAUGGGCGAAAGCCUGACGGAGCAACGCCGCGUGAGUGAUGAAGGUCUUCGGAUCGUAAAACUCUGUUAUUAGGGAAGAGCAUAUGUGUAAGUAACUGUGCACAUCUUGACGGUACCUAAUCAGAAAGCCACGGCUAACUACGUG